UGAAACACAGAGGCUCAAGUUUUGAAUCCAGUCAACCUUCCUUUCACUGCAAAUGUGCUACAUUCUUUACACGUAAUGAAGGUAGUGUGGCAACUCAAAGGAAGGUGCGACUAUCAAAAAGGAAGGUGCUUAUAGCUAAAAGGAUUGUGGAACAAGCAAAAAAGAAACAACGGAAUAAAUUCCUUGCGAAACAGAAGAGAAGAAAAAAUCAGGCCUGUGAAUCAAUAGAAGAAGAAGGAAUGAAUACAAGUGAAGUUCCAUUGAAUUCGACAACUUGUAUUCAUCACGGUCGGGAAAUUGGAACUGAAGAUAGUGUAAUGGCUCAGGGUUCACAAGAAAUCACAAAGCUUAUUGCAGCUGGGACGGAGAAGUUGGCAUUAGCACCUGAUGGUGGUGGCACUUUUGAUUGUGCUACAAGUUUCAACCUCUUCAACUAGGCGAUUGAACAUGCUGUUUUGUUUCUUUUUGAAAGCACUACUCUUUUUUGUUCAACUAGUGCUUUUAGUAGAUGAUACUACCUUUUGAGUAUGUAGUUGUCUAAUGGUAGUGUACAGUUUUUGUAGUAUCAAUUAGUUGGAAUGGUGUAUAGUUUUUGUAAGUAUGGAAUAGUUGGAAUGGUGUAUGGUUUUUGUAAGUACUGAACUUGUGGAAUGAUUUUUGUAUGGUUUUAUUAAGCGUUGAAAAGAUGGACGCCACUUUCGACUACAAGAGGGAUCUCAUGAAUGAUGGAACAUGUUGGAAGGUCUUGGAGCUUGGGGGCAGUGUUGUUGAAAGGGUGAUGAAUGAAGAUUGAUGGGUUUUUGCAGUUUUGGGGUUUGAAUUUGAUUUUAGCAGGAUGUCAUUGUGGCUGACCCAUCGUCAAAAGUUGUUCUUUUCUUUCUUUUGGUGACGUUAAAAAAGGACUAGGGAAAUCAUUGGCUUCUCCUCUCUUGACCUUUGGUUCUGCAACACCCUUCUGCUUUUCCGCUGUGUGGAUCUUAGGUCCGCUAAGGCCUGUGAACUUGGACUGUUCAAUUAUAAAGCCAAGCAUGUGUUUUACCCCCUUGAGAGAAGUAAGUUUUGGUGCCGUUAUGACUACUAUUGGGCUUCAAUAUUCAAGGUUGAUGUGCAGCAUGUGCUUAUGUGUUGAUUGUUGUGGGGCUUUACUCAGUGCUAUGGGGAAAGCACAAAGAGAGCAUGGAGAAUAAAGAAGAGAAGAUAUCGAAUGCUAUAAAGGGUGCUCAAGUAUGCAGUUUCAGGAAUCAAAGAUAUUUGUAGAAUGAGUUUUCUUUGUAGAUUCUGGAUAAUGGUCCAUGGAAUUACAACUUCUUUAGUAUGAAGUAUGGGGUGAAGCUGGGUACAACAAUACUAGUGUUGAUAAAAUGAUGUUAAGAAUUGAGCCUUUUCAUAUAGCUUUCGGAGCAAAAAAAUUUAGAAAUUCGACCAUUCCAUAAAUUUGUGUAGUGUAUACAUUUUGAACCUUCCCUCACUUCUAAUCGAUUUGUUGCAUAUUGCUUUUAUGUGAUGGGAUUUUUGAUGGCUUGCAUGAAUGCCUGAGGCAUUAAGUCCAUUGAUUUAGUGAGAUUGACAGACCAAUCUUUUACUUCAUUACAACUUGUAGGACAUAAGGAUUGAGCUUUUUCUUGUCCUCUUAAAAGGAUGGCAUUAUAAUUAAGGAGAAUGUGCAGGCUAUUUUGUCAAUUCUAUCUUUCAUAACAAAACAAAACAAUUACAAUAAAUACUCCAGUAUAAACUGGAUCACAAGUACUCCAAUCUAAAACUAUACUUUUGAAGAACACCAACAGAAGUCAUUAAAUAGCAUCUUCUACACAACCCAAAAUUGCCUUUUAUCUUUAUCAUGACUUCAUCCACAUAUAUGAUCUUUUCAUGCAGCUGCAGCAAGGUCUUUGGGCAUG